CUCAUGUACCAAAUAUCCAUUCUCCUGUGAGAACACUGUCUCCACAGGCUUUGAUCUAUAGUCAAAGACAAUGCUAGUUAAAAAGGAAAGCAGUCCACAGGAACUCAACAUUUAAUAAACUGUUGUCCAUUUAUUAGAUGUUCAGUCCAUCUGAGUUUCUAAAGGACAAAUUGUACCUUAUGCUGCAGCAUAUAACUGAAGAAGAAUUAAACUGGGUACUUUUCUUCGCAGUUGCUGGGAUUUCUGCUCCUAAUUAACUGUGUUUGGUACUUUCAGGUAAGUGUAGGGCCUGAUUACAACUACAGGUAAAGCACAAAAAAAUUGUCGGAGACUGCAGAGAGAAGUGUCCUGGGCUUCGAAACGUCUGUCAUGUUUGGGAAAUAAUGGCCUGAUUUAUUAAUUGCCGCUUUUCAUGUGUCUCCUGCCUGCUCCUGUCUAAAGCUUUUGCACAAGGGAUUGGAUAUAUUCAGAGCUGCUCUACAGUAACACACAACUCCUCUGCUUACCCUUCAGGGCAACUAGAUGGUGUAAAUGUUUCUUGUGGCUUGGGGAUGUUCUUUCGUGUCAGAGUUCCAUAGUUUAUGAAGAUUACCUUCCUGCCACUGUGCUUCCCAGCCUGCUUUCAAAGGCAAAGGUGUACUUCAGUGAGCAAAGUCUGUACAAAGCCAGUUGCUUCUGCACUGACAGGAAAAUCCACCACUCUUUCAGAAUCAUAAAACUGACUAUGUUGGAAAAGACCUUUAAGAUCAUCAGGUCCAACCCAGGACUGCCAAGCCCACCACUAAGCCAUAUCACUGAGGACCUCAUCUGCACGGUUUUUGAACACUUCCAGAGAUGGUGAUUCCACCACUUUCCUGUGAAGACUGUUCCAAUACCUGAUUACCCUCCCUGUGAAGAAACUUUUCCUGAUAUCUAAUCUAAACCUCCCCUGGUGCAGCUUGAUGCCAUUACCUCUUGUCCUAUUGCUUGUUACUCAGAAGAGACUGACCCCACCUCACUACAACCUCCUUUCAGCUAGUUGUAGAAAGCGAUAGAGAGCACUUCAGCACCUCAAUGCCUUUCCUGAAGUAGGGGCACAGAACUGAAUGCUGAAUGAGGGGCUGAGUCGGGAUUUCAAAUGCCAAGUUGCACACGGAGGAACUGAAAUACCUUCUAUCAGAAAAUAGUGUGAAUUGAGCGUUACUGAGUUAAUGACCUGGAAAGCAUCUUUCUCAAGUGCCUUGAGGAUGUUUCUGAAAAUAAGACUGUAUGUUAAGUAAUUUGGUUGAAUUUUAUCUAAUUAGAGCUACCUCUGAUUUCCUUUUCAAGGUGCAGCAUUUAUUGAUCCUUCUCAGACUGGUAUUUUUCAAUUAGGACAGUAUUGAACCACAACUUAUGUUAUUUCAGGUAUAAUUAAAAGACUUUUUUUUUUCCCUGGAACACAAUCUGAAAACAAAUGGCAAAUAAAAUUUGUUAUUUUGAUAUUUCUCCAGCUAUGUGCAACAUAGAUAUUAGCAUAAAUUAGCCUAAUUGGGUCAGCUUGUACUUAAAUUUCUGGACAAUAAAGCUUUUCCCUUCUGUA